rnacentral:rRNA from 1 species
GACGAACGCUGGCGGCGUGCCUAAUACAUGCAAGUCGAGCGGACUUUCAAGAAGCUUGCUUUUUGAAAGUUAGCGGCGGACGGGUGAAUAACACGUGGGCAACCUGCCUGUAAGACGGGGAUAACUCCGGGAAACCGGGGCUAAUACCGGAUAAUAUCUUUCUUCGCAUGAAGGAAGGUUGAAAGGCGGCGCAAGCUGCCGCUUGCAGAUGGGCCCGCGGCGCAUUAGCUAGUUGGUGAGGUAACGGCUCACCAAGGCGACGAUGCGUAGCCGACGUGAGAGGGUGAUCGGCCACACUGGGACUGGGACACGGCCCAGACUGCUACGGGAGGCAGCAGUAGGGAAUCUUCCGCAAUGGACGAAAGUCUGACGGAGCAACGCCGCGUGAGCGAAGAAGGUCUUCGGAUCGUAAAGCUCUGUUGUCAGGGAAGAACAAGUACCGUUCGAAUAGGGCGGUACCUUGACGGUACCUGACCAGAAAGCCACGGCUAACUACGUGCCAGCAGCCGCCGUAA